rnacentral:rRNA from 1 species
AGUGAACGCUGGCGGUAGGCCUAACACAUGCAAGUCGAACGGCAGCACAGUAAGAGCUUGCUCUUACGGGUGGCGAGUGGCGGACGGGUGAGGAAUACAUCGGAAUCUACUUUUUCGUGGGGGAUAACGUAGGGAAACUUACGCUAAUACCGCAUACGACCUACGGGUGAAAGCAGGGGAUCUUCGGACCUUGCGCGAUUGAAUGAGCCGAUGUCGGAUUAGCUAGUUGGCGGGGUAAAGGCCCACCAAGGCGACGAUCCGUAGCUGGUCUGAGAGGAUGAUCAGCCACACUGGAACUGAGACACGGUCCAGACUCCUACGGGAGGCAGCAGUGGGGAAUAUUGGAUAAUGGGCACAAGCCUGAUCCAGCCAUACCGCGUGGGUGAAGAAGGCCUUCGGGUUGUAAAGCCCUUUUGUUGGGAAAGAAAAGCAGCAGGUUAAUACCCCGCUGUUCUGACGGUACCCAAAGAACAAGCACCGGCUAACUUCGUG